UACGUAGGGUGCAAGCGUUAAUCGGAAUUACUGGGCGUAAAGCGUGCGCAGGCGGUUAUGUAAGACAGUUGUGAAAUCCCCGGGCUCAACCUGGGAACUGCAUCUGCGACUGCAUAGCUAGAGUACGGUAGAGGGGGAUGGAAUUCCGCGUGUAGCAGUGAAAUGCGUAGAUAUGCGGAGGAACACCGAUGGCGAAGGCAAUCCCCCUGGACCUGUACUGACGCUCAUGCACGAAAGCGUGGGGAGCAAACAGG
rnacentral:rRNA from 1 species